ACCUCGUUCCGUAGCCUGGCGGAGCGCGAAUCGGCGGGGCCUCGGAAGGUAGCGUUAUCGAAUCCCGCCGGCGCCCCCAGAUACGGAGGGAGGU
rnacentral:misc_RNA from 1 species